AGAGUUUGAUCAUGGCUCAGAACGAACGCUGGCGGCGUGGAUUAGGCAUGCAAGUCGAGCGAGAAAGGGGUAGCAAUACCCCGAGUAAAGCGGCGAACGGGUGAGUAACAGGUGGGUAACGUGCCUCGAAGUGGGGGAUAACCCGGCGAAAGCCGAGCUAAUACCGCAUGUGGCUGUUUGGACGUCAAGUGCGAACAGUUAAAGAUGCAAAUCGCUUCGAGAUCGGCCCGCCCCCGAUUAGCUAGUUGGUGAGGUAACGGCUCACCAAGGCUUCGAUCGGUAGCUGGUCUGAGAGGAUGGUCAGCCACACUGGGACUGAGAUACGGCCCAGACUCCUACGGGGGGCAGCAGUCUAGAGGCUUCGGCAAUGGGGGCAACCCUGACCGAGCGACGCCGCGUGUGGGAUUGAAGGCGUUUACGUCGUAAACCACUGCUUGAGGGGAAGAAUGCCCGAAUGGCGAAUUCGGGAGAGACGGUACUCUCAAAGAAGC
rnacentral:rRNA from 1 species